UAGAGUGCGUCGGGGCAGAAGGAAUUCCUGGUGUAGCGGUGAAAUGCGUAGAUAUCAGGAAGAACACCGGUGGCGAAAGCGUUCUGCUAGGCCGCAACUGACACUGAGGGACGAAAGCUAGGGGAGCGAAUGGGAUUAGAUACCCCAGUAGUCCUAGCCGUAAACGAUGGAUACUAGGUGUGGCUUGUAUCGACCCGAGCCGUACCGUAGCUAACGCGUUAAGUAUCCCGCCUGGGGAGUACGCACGCAAGUGUGAAACUCAAAGGAAUUGACGGGGGCCCGCACAAGCGGUGGAGUAUGUGGUUUAAUUCGAUGCAACGCGAAGAACCUUACCAAGACUUGACAUCCUGCGAAUCUCGGCGAAAGCUGAGAGUGCCUUAGGGAGCGCAGAGACAGGUGGUGCAUGGCUGUCGUCAGCUCGUGUCGUGAGAUGUUGGGUUAAGUCCCGCAACGAGCGCAACCCUCGUUUUUAGUUGCCAGUAUUAAGUUGGGCACUCUAGAGAGACUGCCGGUGACAAACCGGAGGAAGGUGAGGAUGACGUCAAGUCAGCAUGCCCCUUACGUCUUGGGCUACACACGUACUACAAUGCUACGGACAAAGGGCAGCAAGCUAGUGAUAGCAAGCAAAUCUCGUAAACCGUAGCUCAGUUCAGAUCGAAGGCUGCAACUCGCCUUCGUGAAGGAGGAAUCGCUAGUAAUUGCAGGUCAGCAUACUGCAGUGAAUUCGUUCCCGGGCCUUGUACACACCGCCCGUCACACCAUGGAAGUUGGUCACGCCCGAAGUCAUUACCCCAACCUUUGGGAGGGGGAUGCCUAAGGUAGGACUGGUGACUGGGGUGAAGUCGUAACAAGGUAGCCGUACCGGAAGGUGCGGCUGGAUCACCUCCUU
rnacentral:rRNA from 1 species